GACGAACGCUGGCGGCGUGCUUAACACAUGCCAGUCGAACGGAAAGGCCCUGCUUUUGUGGGGUGCUCGAGUGGCGAACGGGUGAGUAACACGUGAGUAACCUGCCCUUGACUUUGGGAUAACUUCAGGAAACUGGGGCUAAUACCGGAUAGGAGCUCCUGCUGCAUGGUGGGGGUUGGAAAGUUUCGGCGGUUGGGGAUGGACUCGCGGCUUAUCAGCUUGUUGGUGGGGUAGUGGCUGACCAAGGCUUUGACGGGUAGCCGGCCUGGGAGGGUGACCGGCCACAUUGGGACUGCGAUACGGCCCAGUCGCCUACGGGAGGCAGCAGUGGGGAAUAUUGCACAAUGGGCGGAAGCCUGAUGCAGCAACGCCGCGUGCGGGAUGACGGCCUUCGGGUUGUAAACCGCUUUCGCCUGUGACGAAGCGUGAGUGACGGUAAUGGGUAAAGAAGCACCGGCUAACUACGUG
rnacentral:rRNA from 1 species